rnacentral:rRNA from 1 species
CUCCGGUUGAUCCUGCCGGACCUGACUGCUAUCGGAUUGGUACUAAGCCAUGCGAGUCAUUGUAGCAAUACAAGGCGGACGGCUCAGUAACACGUAGUCAACCUAACUCGUGGACGUGGAUAACCUCGGGAAACUGAGAAUAAACCACGAUAGACCAUAGUGCCUGGAAUGGCUUAUGGUCCAAACAGUUUACUGCCAUGGGAUGGGACUGCGGCCUAUCAGCUUGUUGGUGAGGUAAUGGCCCACCAAGGCGAUUACAGGUACGGGCUCUGAGAGGAGAAGCCCGGAGAUGGGUACUGAGACACGGACCCAGGCCCUAUGGGGCGCAGCAGGCGAGAAACCUUAGCAAUGUGCGAAAGCACGACUGGGUCAGUCCGAGUGAUUCCUGAUAAAGGAGUCUUUUGCUUGUCCUAAAAGCACAGGUGAAUAAGGGGUGGGCAAGUCUGGUGUCAGCCGCCGCGGUAAUACCAGCACCUCGAGUGGUCAGGACGUUUAUUGGGCCUAAAGCAUCCGUAGCCGGCUUUGCAAGUCUUCGGUUAAAUCCACCUGCUCAACAGAUGGGCUGCUGGAGAUACUACAAAGCUAGGGAGUGGGAGAGGCAGACGGUAUUCAGUGGGUAGGGGUAAAAUCCUCUGAUCCAUUGAGGACCACCAGUGGCGAAGGCGGUCUGCCAGAACACGUUCGACGGUGAGGGAUGAAAGCUGGGGGAGCAAACCGGAUUAGAUACCCGGGUAGUCCCAGCUGUAAACGAUGCAAACUCGGUGAUGCAUUGGCUUAUGGCCAAUGCAGUGCCGCAGGGAAGCCGUUAAGUUUGCCGCCUGGGAAGUACGGACGCAAGUCUGAAACUUAAGGAAUUGGCGGGGGAGCA